rnacentral:misc_RNA from 1 species
GUCAGUAUUAGUUGCUUCUAAAGAGCCUUUUUGGACUUAUUGUCUCGUUCAAUUCAUUUUUGUGGUCUUUAUGAAGUUUAUUUGUGUAAUCUCUUCAUAGUUUGAUUUGGGUGUGCUAUUCUGUUUUUGGGUACAUUUGUUUGCUAACACUUCUUAACUUGCUUUGUUCUGGAAAUAGGAUGGGUCCAAAAUGACUAUUGA